AACGUAGGACGCAAGCGUUAUCCGGAGUUACUGGGCGUAAAGCGCGGGCAGGCGGUCUUGCCAGUCUGAUGUGAAAUCUCUCAGCUCAACUGGGAGCAGCCAUUGGAAACUACAAGACUGGAGUCUGGCAGAGGUAGGCGGAAUUCCGGGUGGAGUGGUGAAAUGCGUAGAGAUCCGGAGGAACACCAGUGGCGAAAGCGGCUCUCUGGGGGCAACCUGACGCUGAGGCGCGAAAGCGUGGGGAGCGAACAGG
rnacentral:rRNA from 1 species